rnacentral:rRNA from 1 species
UUCUCCUGGGAAACGGGUGGUAAUGCCGGAUGCUCCGACUCCUCGCAUGGGGUGUCGGGAAAGAUUUCAUCGGUAUGGGAUGGGGUCGCGUCCUAUCAGGUAGUCGGCGGGGUAACGGCCCACCGAGCCUACGACGGGUAGCCGGCCUGAGAGGGCGACCGGCCACAUUGGGACUGAGAUACGGCCCAGACUCCUACGGGAGGCAGCAGUGGGGAAUAUUGCACAAUGGGCGCAAGCCUGAUGCAGCGACGCCGCGUGCGGGAUGACGGCCUUCGGGUUGUAAACCGCUUUUGAUCGGGAGCAAGCCUUCGGGUGAGUGUACCUUUCGAAUAAGCACCGGCUAACUACGUGCCAGCAGCCGCGGUAAUACGUAGGGUGCAAGCGUUAUCCGGAAUUAUUGGGCGUAAAGGGCUCGUAGGCGGUUCGUCGCGUCCGGUGUGAAAGUCCAUCGCUUAACGGUGGAUCUGCGCCGGGUACGGGCGGGCUGGAGUGCGGUAGGGGAGACUGGAAUUCCCGGUGUAACGGUGGAAUGUGUAGAUAUC